GAUUUAAAGAAUCUGGAAGGAUGUGAGUAGGUUAUCUGUGAAUACUCUGCCAUUUGAUGUCAGGGACUUGAGCAUCCGUGGAUUUUCGUAUUCUUGGUAUCUGAUCCUCUGUACCGAGGGAGGCCUGUGUGUUCUACUUGCUUAUGUUAGCAGGACACUUUGAAUGUGUCUUUCCCAUUAGAUUGUAAUUCCUUUGAGGGUGGAGACUAUAAACUUCAGUUUAUAUUUUCGAGCUCAGUUUUCUAUGUAAUGUGGAUCUAUAAGUAUUACAUAAAUAUCCUCACAGGUAGAGUCAAUGCUAAUUGGCGGCUGGUAGUAAUUUCUAAACUACCAUUUUAACACUGGGGGAAAAACACUCAGUACUGACAAGGGUAAAAUAAAUCUGAUACCUUAAUGUGCUGCCAGUGAAAUUAUAAGUUGAAAAAACUCUUCUUUGGAAAGUAUCUUGGCAGUCUGUAUGAGAAAGCCAUCUAAAUGUUCAUAUAGUUUGAUGUAGUAAUUUUAUUUCUGGGGCUAUCUCUAAGAUAAUAUUGCAAAAUUUUGGAAUAUUUGUAAUAUUGUCUUAGAGAUAGUCCUAGAAAUAGAGUUACUGCAUCUUACAUUUUGUAGAGAGCUAUAUGUAGGAAGCUAUUCAUUACACAAUUUUUAAGGAAGAAAAAUUGCAUAUAAUCUAAAUGCCACGAAUGGAAAAUAUUAGGUAAAUUAUGGUUCUUUAUAUUGGAUGGAAUAGUAUAUAGCCGUUAAAAUAUCUAUGAAGGUUAUGAAGCAACAUAGAAAAGUGCUUAUGAUAUAUAAUGUCACUUAGAAACACAUGGAAUAUUUCACAACAAUACAAAUUAGAACAGAAUCUUAAACCAGAUGCUUAGGGAAGAUGGGAAAGAAUAACAAUAAUUACUGUAUAUUGAGUAAUUAUUAUGUUUUAGGGACUUUGCCGAGUAAUUUUCUCACUUAAUUUUUAUAAAUGGCUCUUGGUUUGUUCAUUUUGCGGACAAAGACACUGAGCUUAGAGAGGUUGU
rnacentral:lncRNA from 1 species